AUGAAAGUGAAAUUACUGUGUUUGAGGAAAGAUAAAUUUCUAAAUAUAUGAAGGUUUGCCUUUAUUUUCCCAUUUAUACUUUUACUUUACAAGUAUGAAAAAGCAUAACAGAGACAUUCUUUAGAGAAUGGGUAUGGGAGAGCUGAGUUGUAAUGAUCGAAUAAGAUCAGAAUCUGACAAGUUGAGAGGAGGCAGAGAGAAGUGACUGUGAGUAGAGCUGCCUCUUCUAAUUUCUUGCAUGGUCAAUAGAGCUGCAACAGUGUUCCUAAAAAUUCCCUCUCCUUCUAUUGUUAUAGCUUCUCUUCCCUCUCUUUUCCUUUCUUCUUCCUCUACAGGAAACACAGCAUCUAUCGUAUUCUCGCAUUCCUUGACAAGCUUUGAUAUAAGAUCUGUUGUAAAAAAGGGUUGUUGCAGCACUUUCUGAAUGAAUGGCAAGCGCAAUAAUCCUCCAGUUCUCUUGUCAUACUUCUUCAGUAUCUUGGCUAAUCCUGUGUAAUUGAUAUUGCUGUAGUUUUCUAGAAGCACCAUUUCGCCAUGGAAAUUGACAAUGUCUUUUCUAAUCUUGCCCAUCUCCUUUUUAUACUCUGCUUCAGAAGGUUGACUUCCAUUUGGCCCCCAGGAAUCAAUAACAAUCUGAAUCCUUUGCUUUAAUUCCUUAUGUCGGAUGAUGAAAUCCUCUUCCUGUUCAAUGAAAAAAGAAUUGAACUUGUCGAUCUCAUUGUUCAGCAAAUACACGAACUCAGCUUCGGCUUUUCCACACUCAAUUGAUCGAAUCGACGACAGGGGAGUAGAAGAAAGUAACCGAACAAGCUUUUUCAAUUCCUUGUACGACAAGAAUUUGUCACGCCAAUCCGGCAACGUUUCUUGCAUUUGUUGCUUCAAUCUCUUGCCAAACUUCAUUUGCAACUCUGCUCUAGCCACUUUCAGAUUAAGAAAAGAAAUGAAAGAGCCAACCCAAGAAUUGCUGCAAG
rnacentral:misc_RNA from 1 species